AACAUCUCUACUCAGACUUAGGUGACACCCCACCACAUUCCCAAUUUGACAAAGUUCUAUUUUGCAUGGUUGGUCCGUAGGUGGGUUCUCAUAUAUCAUGGCAAACAUCAGGUCAGGUCAAUUACUACUUCAAAA